rnacentral:rRNA from 1 species
GCUAGCGGCAGGCUUAAUACAUGCAAGUCGAGGGGCAGCAGGUCCCGCAGCAAUGCGGGAUGCUGGCGACCGGCAAACGGGUGCGGAACACGUACAGAACCUUCCUUCGAGCGGGGAAUAGCCCAGAGAAAUUUGGAUUAAUACCCCAUAGUAUUGUGGAGUGGCAUCACUUUACAAUUAAAGAUUUAUCACUUGAAGAUGGCUGUGCGGCUGAUUAGGUAGUUGGCGGGGUAACGGCCCACCAAGCCUGCGAUCAGUAACUGGUGUGAGAGCACGACCAGUCACACGGGCACUGAGACACGGGCCCGACUCCUACGGGAGGCAGCAGUAAGGAAUAUUGGUCAAUGGACGAAAGUCUGAACCAGCCAUGCCGCGUGGAGGAUGAAGGUCCUCUGGAUUGUAAACUUCUUUUAUAUGGGACGAAAAAAGGGUUUUCUAACUCGUCUGACGGUACCAUAUGAAUAAGCACCGGCUAACUCCGUGCCAGCAGCCGCGGUAAUACGGAGGGUGCAAGCGUUAUCCGGAUUCACUGGGUUUAAAGGGUGCGUAGGUGGGUUGGUAAGUCAGUGGUGAAAUCCCCGAGCUUAACUUGGGAACUGCCAUUGAUACUAUCAGUCUUGAAUACCGUGGAGGUCAGCGGAAUAUGUCAUGUAGCGGUGAAAUGC